UACGUAGGUGGCAAGCGUUGUCCGGAUUUACUGGGCGUAAAGAGCGCGCAGGCGGUCGUUCAAGUCGCGUGUGAAAGCCCCCGGCUCAACUGGGGAGGGUCAUUCGAUACUGAUCGACUCGAAGGCAGGAGGGGGUAGUGGAAUUCCCGGUGUAGUGGUGAAAUGCGUAGAUAUCGGGAGGAACACCAGUGGCGAAGGCGACUACCUGGCCUGUUCUUGACGCUGAGGCGCGAAAGCUAGGGGAGCAAACAGGG
rnacentral:rRNA from 1 species